rnacentral:rRNA from 1 species
AUUGAACGCUGGCGGCAGGUCUAACACAUGCAAGUCGAGCGGAGCGGCGGACGGGUGAGUAAUGCCUAGGAAUCUGCCUGGUAGUGGGGGAUAACGUCCGGAAACGGGUGCUAAUACCGCAUACUAUCAGAUGAGCCUAGGUCGGAUUAGCUAGUUGGUGGGGUAAAGGCCUACCAAGGCGACCAUCCGUAACUGGUUUGAGAGGAUGAUCAGUCACACUGGAACUGAGAAACGGUCCAGACUCCUACGUGAGGCAGCAGUGGGGAAUGUUGGACAAUGGGCGAAAGCCUGGUCCAGCCAUGCCGCGUGUUUGAAGAAGGUCUGCAGAUUGUAAAGCACUUUAAGUUGGGAGGCGUUACCAGCAGAAUAAGCACAGGCUAACUUCGUGCCAGCAGCCGCGGUAAUUC